rnacentral:lncRNA from 1 species
UUCAUGUUCAGGCUAAGAGAAACUAUUAAAACAGAGUUACAUGUUGGUCCCUAUGAUUCAAAAAAUGAUUAGAUUCUUCUUCUCCAUGUUCUGAGAAUUGCCAAUAAAGAUCUCCUUGAAGCUUGUGUGUUAUAACAUGAACAUUUCAAAGAUGGCAAACGAUUAUGAUAUGGAACCAUGCAUAUACAUAAACCUAACAAAUCUUUUCUUUUUCUGAUUUACAGAACCUAAUUAGAUGAAAUUGAAAAACCAACACAGCAUUAACUCGCCAAUGUCUUCUCUAGUCC